rnacentral:tRNA from 1 species
GCCUGGGUGGCUCAGUUGGUUAAGCUUCUGACUUCAGCUCAGAUCAUGAUCUUCCGGUCGGUGGGUUUGAGCCCUGCAUCAGGCU